CGUUUGAGUAGUAAUGAGCCUAAAGAAGUUGGGCACCGCUAUGGUAACAUAGCGUGUUAAACCCAGUGAACCUAUAAAUAUAGGGUGUAUACUCCACGUGCAGGAGUGUCAGGAAAUGGGCACUAGGGAGCGUGCUAACAGGGGAACUGAGUAGGGAUGAGCGCCUACACAGCAAUCCUGUGCCAAGACCCUUUGAGGGUAAGGUGCAACGACUAUCGAAACCACUCAGAAAUGAGGAAGGGAGUAGAGUACCUUACAGGUGAAACUCCUGUAGGGGAAGCGCUGGGCAACCGUUGAGAUAUGUAUAAAACAUAAGGAGGUGAAGAAUAUGGAAUGGAAGGACAUUAAAGGAUAUGAGGGGCACUAUCAAGUAUCAAACACCGGGGAAGUAUACAGCAUAAAGUCGGGAAAGACUUUAAAACAUCAGAUUCCUAAAGAUGGGUAUCACAGGAUUGGACUUUUUAAAGGUGGAAAAGGGAAAACGUUUCAAGUGCAUCGUCUGGUGGCGAUUCACUUUUGUGAAGGAUAUGAGGAAGGUCUAGUAGUUGAUCAUAAAGAUGGUAACAAGGACAACAAUCUCAGUACAAAUUUAAGAUGGGUUACCCAAAAGAUAAACGUAGAGAAUCAAAUGUCUAGAGGGACUUUAAACGUAUCUAAGGCUCAACAAAUCGCCAAGAUAAAAAACCAGAAGCCAAUCAUUGUGAUCUCUCCAGAUGGAAUUGAGAAAGAGUAUCCAUCAACUAAGUGUGCUUGUGAAGAAUUGGGAUUAACAAGAGGUAAAGUAACUGAUGUCCUGAAGGGACAUAGGAUUCACCACAAGGGAUACACUUUUAGGUACAAACUCAACGGUUGAAGAUAUAGUCUAGCAGGUAGUAUAAUCGGGGAAUUUUUAUACUACUUGUAGAACG
rnacentral:ncRNA from 1 species